rnacentral:rRNA from 1 species
GAUGAACGCUGGCGGCGCGCCUAAUACAUGCAAGUCGAGCGAACUGAUUAGAAGCUUGCUUCUAUGACGUUAGCGGCGGACGGGUGAGUAACACGUGGGCAACCUGCCUGUAAGACUGGGAUAACUUCGGGAAACCGAAGCUAAUACCGGAUAGGAUCUUCUCCUUCAUGGGAGACGAUUGAAAGAUGGUUUCGGCUAUCACUUACAGAUGGGCCCGCGGUGCAUUAGCUAGUUGGUGAGGUAACGGCUCACCAAGGCAACGAUGCAUAGCCGACCUGAGAGGGUGAUCGGCCACACUGGGACUGAGACACGGCCCAGACUCCUACGGGAGGCAGCAGUAGGGAAUCUUCCGCAAUGGACGAAAGUCUGACGGAGCAACGCCGCGUGAGUGAUGAAGGCUUUCGGGUCGUAAAACUCUGUUGUUAGGGAAGAACAAGUACGAGAGUAACUGCUCGUACCUUGACGGUACUUAACCAGAAAGCCACAGCUAACUACGUGCCAGCCGCCGCCGUAA